UACUGCCUACGGGGGGCAGCAGUGAGGAAUAUUGGUCAAUGGGCGGAAGCCUGAACCAGCCACGUCGCGUGAGGGAAUAAGGCCCUACGGGUCGUAAACCUCUUUUGCCGGGGAGCAAGGGCCGGGACGCGUCCCGGCCCGGAGAGUACCCGGAGACAAAGCAUCGGCUAACUCCGUGCCAGCAGCCGCGGUAAUACGGAGGAUGCGAGCGUUAUCCGGAUUUAUUGGGUUU
rnacentral:rRNA from 1 species